rnacentral:rRNA from 1 species
CCUACGGGAUGCAGCAGUGGGGAAUAUUGCACAAUGGGCGAAACCCUGAUGCAGCGACGCCGCGUGAGUGAAGAAGUAUCUCGGUACGUAAAACCCUAUUAGCAGGGAAGAAAAUGACGGUACGUGACUAAAACGCGCCGGCUAACUACGUACCAGCAGCCGAGGUAUUACGUCGGGGACAAGCGUUAACCGGAUUUACUGGGGUUAAAGGGAGCGUAGACGGCAGCACAAGUCUGGAGUGAAAUCGCGGGGGUUAACCCCGGAACUGCCUUGGAAACUGGGCGGCUGGAGUGCAGGAGGGGUAAGCGGAAUUCCUGGUGUAGCGGUGAAAUGCGUAGAUAUUAGGAGGAACACCGGUGGCGAAGGCGGCUUACUGGACUGUAACUGACGUUGAGGCUCGAAAGCGUGGGGAGCAAACAGGAUUAGAUACCCUUGUAGUC